rnacentral:rRNA from 1 species
AGUGAACGCUGGCGGUAGGCCUAACACAUGCAAGUCGAACGGCAGCACAGUAAGAGCUUGCUCUUACGGGUGGCGAGUGGCGGACGGGUGAGGAAUACAUCGGAAUCUACUUUUUCGUGGGGGAUAACGUAGGGAAACUUACGCUAAUACCGCAUACGACCUACGGGUGAAAGCAGGGGAUCUUCGGACCUUGCGCGAUUGAAUGAGCCGAUGUCGGAUUAGCUAGUUGGCGGGGUAAGGGCCCACCAAGGCGACGAUCCGUAGCUGGUCUGAGAGGAUGAUCAGCCACACUGGAACUGAGACACGGUCCAGACUCCUACGGGAGGCAGCAGUGGGGAAUAUUGGACAAUGGGCGCAAGCCUGAUCCAGCCAUACCGCGUGGGUGAAGAAGGCCUUCGGGUUGUAAAGCCCUUUUGUUGUGAAAGAAAAGCAGCAGGUUAAUACCCCGCUGUUCUGACGGUACCCAAAGAAUAAGCACCGGCUAACUUCGUG